AGCCAUAAAAGAAAUAAUGAUCUAGCUUCAGAAUCAGAACCAGAUAUGUUAGCAUCAGAAAAGGUGACUUUGUCUGCAGUUGAUAAAGAUGAAACUUUGAAAUUACUUCAAAAGUUGCCAUCAGAUUGGACUGUAGUACAGAUAACAAGCAAUAGCAUGGGUGAAGCAAAUCUUCCACGGGUUGGUUGUAAUCCCUCAACUCCAGGGUUGUACAUUGCUCGAUGUUCUUGUGGGCCUAGUCCCAGAAUCACUUUUCAGACUGUCUCAACACCACAAAAAGAUGGAGUACGUGGCAUUGUUCAAGAGGUUGAAAUUAUUAAAGAGGAAAACAAAAUCAUCAAUAAAGAUUAUCGUGGUCAGCAUGAGAAAUAUUGGAAAAAGCGGGAAGAGCUUGACAACAGA